rnacentral:rRNA from 1 species
GUGUCAGCAGCCGCGGUAAAACGUAGGGGACAAGCGUUAUCCGGAUUUACUGGGCGUAAAGCGCAUGUAGGUGGCUUGACAAGUUGGACGUGAAAGCUCCCGGCUUAACUGGGAGAGGUCGUUCAAAACUGGCAAGCUUGAGGAUGGAAGAGGAGAGCGGAAUUCCCGGUGUAGUGGUGGAAUGCGUAGAUAUCGGGAGGAACACCAGUGGCGAAAGCGGCUCUCUGGUUCAAACCUGACACUGAGAUGCGAAAGCGUGGGGAGCGAACGGGAUUAGAUACCCCGGUAGUCCACGCUGUAAACGAUGGAUACUAGGUGUAGGCGGUCAUUAACCCCGUCUGUGCCGAAGCCAACGCGUUAAGUAUCCCGCCUGGGGACUACGGCCGCAAGGUUAAA